UAUGUGAUCGUCUCUCGCAUAUCAAUAAGCGGAGGAAAAGAAACUAACAAGGAUUCCCCUAGUAACGGCGAGUGAAGCGGGAAGAGCUCAAAUUUGAAAUCUUAAAGGGUUUCCCUUUACGAAUUGUAGUUUAAAGAAGUGUUUUCUGUUGAGGUUUUGGUAAAAGUUCUUUGGAAUAGGACAUCAUAGAGGGUGAGAAUCCCGUAUUUGACCUUUACUUUCAACUUUGUGAUACACUUUCAAAGAGUCGGAUUGUUUGGGAAUGCAGUCCAAAAUGGGUGGUAAAUUUCAUCUAAAGCUAAAUAUUGGCGAGAGACCGAUAGCGAACAAGUACCGUGAGGGAAAGAUGAAAAGAACUUUGAAAAGAGAGUUAAACAGUACGUGAAAUUGUCAAAAGGGAAGCGUUUGACACCAGUGUUGUUUUUCUGAAAAUCAAUUAAAGAACUGUUUAUGCUAAGUUGUUUAGACUUUAUCAGCUAACUGUUUAGUUUUGAGCUUUUCUUUAAUGCACUUUUCAGUUAACAAGUCAACAGUCAAUUUCUUUUGCUGUAAAAAAGCUUGAGGAAGGUGGCUUGAGAUUCGUCUUAAGUGUUUAUAGCCUCUUGCCUAUGCAGUCGGAGAGAUUGAGGUCUGCAGCGUAGAUCCUUCGGGGCUAAAUGCAUUUGUGCUAAGUUAUAGCAUUUUAUAGACAACUUGUUGACUAUGAUUUGUCUUGUAGCUUACUCGCUUAUGUUAUUUUACCUACGCUUAGGAUGUUGAGUAGCGACAUACGCA
rnacentral:rRNA from 1 species